rnacentral:rRNA from 1 species
UGGUGGAGUGAUUUGUCUGGUUAAUUCCGUUAACGAACGAGACCUCAGCCUGCUAAAUAGUUGCACUCAGUCUUCUGAUUGGGUGUUCAACUUCUUAGAGGGACUUUUGGUGCUAUAGCCAAAGGAAGUUUGAGGCAAUAACA